AUAGACCUUUAAAUGUAAUAAUACAUGUACAUGGUGAAGGUGUCAAAAAUAUUAGAAUUUUAACAUUUACAAGCUUAUGGUGAAAGCAGGUCUAAUAAAAGUCAACCCUCUCCAUCAUCCCUUAGUCCAACUUUGGGUAGAAAAGUUACGUCAAAGGUUUCUUCGCUUCUGUGGAAAGGAAGGAUUUUGUAUUUAUUAUGCAGCUUGUUAAUGUUGAGUUGUAGUUUGUAAGUAAAAUUUAGAUCUUCUCUAUAAAUACUUUGUUUGGAAUUUUACAAAUCUCAUUGUACAUGGACAAUUUUUAUGCCCCACCUACGAUAGUAGAGGGGCAUUAUGUUUUCUGGUCUGUGCCUCCGUUCAUCCGUCUGUGCGUCUGUUCGCUUCAGGUUAACGUUUUUGGUCAAGGUAGUUUUUGAAGAAGUUGAAGUCUAAUCAACUUGAAACUUAGUAAACAUGUUCCCUAUGAUAUGAUCUUUUUAAUUUUAAUUCCAAAUUAAAGUUUUGACCCCAAUUUCACGUUCCACUGAACAUAAAAAAUGAUAGUGCGAGUGGGGCAUCCGUGUACUUGGGACACAUUCUUGUUGUCAAUCUUUUCUUGGCUUCUAUGUAAGCAACUGCUUGUAUAUUUGGCUUGGAGCUUGAAAAUGUUGAGUUAUAUUGGGAAAAGUACUUUUUAUACCUAAUGUGCAGGUACUUCUUGUUUGCCCAUAGUUUCAAUCCAUUCAAACCAAGCUAUGCAAGUUUAAACUCGAUAUGGUGUACAAUUCUUGCCAAAUUUUUUAUGAAACUUAUAUCAAAGGCUUAAAUUCCAAAGCGAGUUAUUGCACUUGGAACACUGUUUUUAGCUCAGCUGUCCCGAAGGGACAAGUGAGCUUAUGCCAUCACUUGGCGUCCGUCGUCGUCCGUUGUCUGUCGUCUGUCGUCGUAAACUAUUUCAAGAAUCU
rnacentral:lncRNA from 1 species